rnacentral:rRNA from 1 species
GAUGAACGCUAGCUACAGGCUUAACACAUGCAAGUCGAGGGGAAACGAUAGAGAAAGCUUGCUUUUUCUAGGCGUCGACCGGCGCACGGGUGAGUAACGCGUAUCCAACCUGCCCAUCACUUGGGGAUAACCUUGCGAAAGUAAGACUAAUACCCAAUGAUAUCUCUAGAAGACAUCUGAAAGGGAUUAAAGAUUUAUCGGUGAUGGAUGGGGAUGCGUCUGAUUAGCUUGUUGGCGGGGUAACGGGCAACCAAGGCGACGAUCAGUAGGGGUUCUGAGAGGAAGGUCCCCCACAGUGGAACUGAGACACGGUCCAAACUCCUACGGGAGGCAGCAGUGAGGAAUAUUGGUCAAUGGGCGAGAGCCUGAACCAGCCAAGUAGCGUGCAGGAUGACGGCCCUAUGGGUUGUAAACUGCUUUUAUAAGGGAAUAAAGUGAGUCUCGUGAGACUUUUUGCAUGUACCUUAUGAAUAAGGACCGGCUAAUUCCGUGCCAGCAGCCGCAGUAA